AUACAGAGGGUGCGAGCGUUAAUCGGAAUUACUGGGCGUAAAGCGCGCGUAGGCGGCUUGGUCAGUCGGAUGUGAAAGCCCUGGGCUCAACCUGGGAAUUGCAUUCGAUACUGCCAAGCUAGAGUAUGGGAGAGGGAAGUGGAAUUUCCGGUGUAGCGGUGAAAUGCGUAGAUAUCGGAAAGAACACCAGUGGCGAAGGCGACUUCCUGGCCCAAUACUGACGCUGAGGUGCGAAAGCGUGGGGAGCGAACAGGAUUAGAAACCCUUGUAGUCC
rnacentral:rRNA from 1 species